GUGUCGAGGAGGCUUCUUAGUCGUGCUAAUGCUGCCAUGUCCUUGAUUUUUAUCCUUAAUAUUUAAUAGCUUAAGGCCAAUGCCCAUAGGGAGGAUCUUUUAAUUGAACCACACAAGAACCUGCACGUAUUGACUCGAAGUGCAGCGAUAUUAGUGAAGGAACAACAGAAGAGGAAUCUACCUGAAUAUAAAAUUGAUGACUCGCAGACAUUGAUCGCGAGAAGAAAGCAGAAAGAGGCUGUUCUUUAAUUUUGACUCAGACCUCAGCAUCUCAAUAUUGAAUAACCCGUGAGCUUUUAUAAUGCUUUUGUAUGCAACACAUGAUUUAUUGCUACACCUUCUGUUGUGCCAUCAAAGUCUCAGAAGACAGCAUGCUGUUGGAAAAACUCUCCUCAGCAAGCUCAGGCUGCCUUUGUUCCUUUUCUUUUUAUUAAUCAAUUGUUUCCAUGAAAAAAAAAUUUUCAUAAUUAUACAUUUUUCAUGACCUCUACAGCUUCAAGCUCUUCCUCUGCAGACGCUGUAAUCACAGCUUCAGUCCCGGCCUCCAUCAGUCUUAGCGCGUAUGGAUCUACGCUCCCUGCUGCUGUUGUGUUUCACAGCUCUGGCCCUAAGCUAUUUACGCCAAACACAUUACCUCAUGACUUUUUUAUGAUAUUUUGAGGUAUUUUGCUCCAGUGAAAAUGACUGAGUGAGUACCGAGCUCCUCCAUUAGUGCAAAACAAAAAGAAUGGGCCGUGUAGUACAUACAUCACGUGUCUAUUUGGGCCCAGAGCUGCUCUGUAAGCACAGCAGCGUCGAUGCUGUGCACUGAUUACUGUUUACCGGCCAAAUGUGUCAUUUACAAGCCGUGGAUAUUAUUGAUUAUUGCAUCAGUUGUAAGUGUUGUGAAUGUACGUAAUGACAUGGUUUAGCUGUUGUAGAUGCGCGUUCCAGUAAACAAACAGCAAACAGAACUUACCUUCCUUCCUCUCUGUCAGUUACUGAGUGUGUUUGCCCACUCCUGAACUGUAACACUGCCUGAAAACACUGUUCUAUAACUGGGCCAACCUGACACACACACAUGACAAAUUCAUAACGUCCCACGCGCUCUCCCCCAACAGGGGGGACGCAUACAGUAUGCAGUCACUGUAGAGGCUCCGUUGACGUCGUUUACAGCCCGUCACAGCUAAA
rnacentral:lncRNA from 1 species